UACGUAGGGGGCAAGCGUUGUCCGGAUUUAUUGGGCGUAAAGAGCGUGUAGGCGGCUUUACAGGUCCGUUGUGAAAACUCGAGGCUCAACCUCGAGAUGUCGGCGGAAACCGUCUGGCUAGAGUCCGGAAGAGGAGAGUGGAAUUCCUGGUGUAGCGGUGAAAUGCGCAGAUAUCAGGAAGAACACCUAUGGCGAAGGCAGCUCUCUGGGACGGUACUGACGCUGAGACGCGAAAGCGUGGGGAGCAAACAGG
rnacentral:rRNA from 1 species